GGGUGGGUCCGUUCAGAGCGAUACCCUCAGCCUCACCGUUACCUCCCGAAGCCGGAAUGAAGCUCGACAAGCUGGGGGUCGCUGGUUCGAGCCCAGCACGGCCCA
rnacentral:tRNA from 2 species